UGAGGAAUAUUGGACAAUGGGCGGAAGCCUGAUCCAGCCAUGCCGCGUGAAGGACUAAGGCCCUACGGGUCGUAAACUUCUUUUGACGCAGAGCAAUAAGGUCCACGUGUGGACCGAUGAGAGUAUGCGUCGAAUAAGCAUCGGCUAACUCCGUGCCAGCAGCCGCGGUAAUACGGAGGAUGCGAGCGUUAUCCGGAUUUAUUGGGUUUAAAGGGUGCGUAGGCGGCAUUUCAAGUCAGCGGUGAAAUGCCCUCGCUCAACGAGGGAUGUGUCGUUGAAACUGAGAGGCUGGAAUACGAUCGACGUGGGAGGGAUGUGUGGUGUAGCGGUGAAAUGCAUAGAUAUCACACAGAACACCGAUUGCGAAGGCAUCCCACGAGGCCGUAAUUGACGCUGAGGCACGAAAGCGCGGGUAUCGAACAGG
rnacentral:rRNA from 1 species